rnacentral:rRNA from 3 species
UAUCCUGUCUGAAUAUGGGGGGACCAUCCUCCAAGGCUAAAUACUCCUGACUGACCGAUAGUGAACCAGUACCGUGAGGGAAAGGCGAAAAGAACCCCGGCGAGGGGAGUGAAAAAGAACCUGAAACCGUGUACGUACAAGCAGUGGGAGCACCCUUUGGGUGUGACUGCGUACCUUUUGUAUAAUGGGUCAGCGACUUAUAUUCUGUAGCAAGGUUAACCGAAUAGGGGAGCCGGAGGGAAACCGAGUCUUAAUUGGGCGUUAAGUUGCAGGGUAUAGACCCGAAACCCGGUGAUCUAGCCAUGGGCAGGUUGAAGGUUGGGUAACACUAACUGGAGGACCGAACCGACUAAUGUUGAAAAAUUAGCGGAUGACCUGUGGCUGGGGGUGAAAGGCCAAUCAAACCGGGAGAUAGCUGGUUCUCCCCGAAAGCUAUUUAGGUAGCGCCUCGUGAAUUCAUCUCCGGGGGUAGAGCACUGUUUCGGCUAGGGGGCCAUCCCGGCUUACCAACCCGAUGCAAACUGCGAAUACCGGAGAAUGUUAUCACGGGAGACACACGGCGGGUGCUAACGUCCGUCGUGAAGAGGGAAACAACCCAGACCGCCAGCUAAGGUCCCAAAGUCAUGGUUAAGUGGGAAACGAUGUGGGAAGGCCCAGACAGCCAGGAUGUUGGCUUAGAAGCAGCCAUCAUUUAAAGAAAGCGUAAUAGCUCACUGGUCGAGUCGGCCUGCGCGGAAGAUGUAACGGGGCUAAACCAUGCACCGAAGCUGCGGCAGCGACACUGUGUGUUGUUGGGUAGGGGAGCGUUCUGUAAGCCUGUGAAGGUGUGUCGUGAGGCAUGCUGGAGGUAUCAGAAGUGCGAAUGCUGACAUAAGUAACGAUAAAGCGGGUGAAAAGCCCGCUCGCCGGAAGACCAAGGGUUCCUGUCCAACGUUAAUCGGGGCAGGGUGAGUCGACCCCUAAGGCGAGGCCGAAAGGCGUAGUCGAUGGGAAACGGGUUAAUAUUCCCGUACUUGGUGUUACUGCGAAGGGGGGACGGAGAAGGCUAUGUUGGCCGGGCGACGGUUGUCCCGGUUUAAGCGUGUAGGUGUGUGUUCCAGGUAAAUCCGGUUCACUUUAACACUGAGGCGUGACGACGAGGCACUACGGUGCUGAAGCAACAAAUGCCCUGCUUCCAGGAAAAGCCUCUAAGCAUCAGGUAACAUCAAAUCGUACCCCAAACCGACACAGGUGGUCAGGUAGAGAAUACCAAGGCGCUUGAGAGAACUCGGGUGAAGGAACUAGGCAAAAUGGUGCCGUAACUUCGGGAGAAGGCACGCUGACACGUAGGUGAAGUGAUUUACUCAUGGAGCUGAAGUCAGUCGAAGAUACCAGCUGGCUGCAACUGUUUAUUAAAAACACAGCACUGUGCAAACACGAAAGUGGACGUAUACGGUGUGACGCCUGCCCGGUGCCGGAAGGUUAAUUGAUGGGGUCAGCGCAAGCGAAGCUCCUGAUCGAAGCCCCGGUAAACGGCGGCCGUAACUAUAACGGUCCUAAGGUAGCGAAAUUCCUUGUCGGGUAAGUUCCGACCUGCACGAAUGGCGUAAUGAUGGCCAGGCUGUCUCCACCCGAGACUCAGUGAAAUUGAACUCGCUGUGAAGAUGCAGUGUACCCGCGGCAAGACGGAAAGACCCCGUGAACCUUUACUAUAGCUUGACACUGAACAUUGAGCCUUGAUGUGUAGGAUAGGUGGGAGGCUUUGAAGUGUGGACGCCAGUCUGCAUGGAGCCGACCUUGAAAUACCACCCUUUAAUGUUUGAUGUUCUAACGUGGACCCGUUACCCGGGUUGCGGACAGUGUCUGGUGGGUAGUUUGACUGGGGCGGUCUCCUCCUAAAGAGUAACGGAGGAGCACGAAGGUUGGCUAAUCCUGGUCGGACAUCAGGAGGUUAGUGCAAUGGCAUAAGCCAGCUUGACUGCGAGCGUGACGGCGCGAGCAGGUGCGAAAGCAGGUCAUAGUGAUCCGGUGGUUCUGAAUGGAAGGGCCAUCGCUCAACGGAUAAAAGGUACUCCGGGGAUAACAGGCUGAUACCGCCCAAGAGUUCAUAUCGACGGCGGUGUUUGGCACCUCGAUGUCGGCUCAUCACAUCCUGGGGCUGAAGUAGGUCCCAAGGGUAUGGCUGUUCGCCAUUUAAAGUGGUACGCGAGCUGGGUUUAGAACGUCGUGAGACAGUUCGGUCCCUAUCUGCCGUGGGCGCUGGAGAACUGAGGGGGGCUGCUCCUAGUACGAGAGGACCGGAGUGGACGCAUCACUGGUGUUCGGGUUGUCAUGCCAAUGGCACUGCCCGGUAGCUAAAUGCGGAAGAGAUAAGUGCUGAAAGCAUCUAAGCACGAAACUUGCCCCGA